CUUGUUAUUCUGCAGGAAGAGAGCAUCUGGGUGCUUGCAGAAAUAAAACAUAUGGGGAAAGCACAGUCAGGUGCUGUGCAUAGUGAUCGUAAUAAACUUGUUCAGAGGCUAUUUCAAAUUACUCUGCUCCUCAGGACAAAACAGGAUUGCUCCAGCCGUGAGAUGCUACUGUGAGUCUACUGCAACAACUUGGAGCAGUCCCACAGACCUUAGCUGGAGCCUCGGGGAAAGAAGGGUGGCAGAACAGGAGGAAAGGAUGGAAACAGGAGGAAAGCCCAGAGGAUGCUUGAAUUAAAAGCAUAAAUACGAUGUACCAUGAUGUGUAAACAAAAGUGUCACUUUUUGCAUUUUUGAAUCCCUGCAUAGAGGUAAUGCCUCAGCUGUAGCAUUGUCUGAUUUUCAUCACUGCUAUUCCAGAUCAGUGUGGGCCAACUGGAGAGACUCCAAAAGAGAAUAAUUUAAAAUGAUACAAGUUUCUGAAGGAAAAGACUCAAAAAUUGAUCUGGUUUAGAAUAAGACUAAGGUAGAUCACAGUAAUAUUCUUCAAAUCCAUAAAUGUCUGCUGGAAAAAAAAAAAAGGAGGGGAGAAUCAAUCCAUUCUGCGUUGCCCAUGAGGAACAGAAUAAGAAGCAGUGGGCUAAAAUAGCGUACAUUUCUGAUUUCAAGGACAGCUAAGCUCUGGGACACAUUAAGGCAUCUGGAGCCUUCCAUAUAGGAAGUUUUUUAGUACCAGACGUUUAUCAGAUAACAGACA
rnacentral:lncRNA from 1 species